UUGUUGCAGUUAAAAAGCUCGUAGUUGGACUUUAGGCAAGGCGGCCUGGUCACCCUCUGGGUGUACUGGGAUCGCUGCGCCUCACCUUCGGGGAGCUAGUCGUGCUUCGGUGCGCUAGGGAACCGAGCCUUACCUUGAGGAAAUUAGAGUGUUUAAAGCAGGCUUAUGCUUGAAUACGUUAGCAUGGAAUAACAUGAUAGGACUUUGGUUCUAUUUUGUUGGUUUGAGGACCAAAGUAAUGAUUAAUAGGGACAGUUGGGGGCAUUAGUAUUCAAUAGUCAGAGGUGAAAUUCUUGGAUUUAUUGAAGACUAACUAAUGCGAAAGCAUUUGCCAAGGAUGUUUUCAUUAAUCAAGAACGAAAGUUAGGGGAUCGAAGACGAUUAGAUACCGUCGUAGUCUUAACCAUAAACUAUGCCGACUAGGGAUCGGUGGAAGUCGAUUUUGACUCCAUCGGCACCUUACGAGAAUCAAAGUUUUUGGGUUCUGGGGGGAGUAUGGUCGCAAGGCUGAAACUUAAAGGAAUUGACGGAAGGGCACCACCAGGAGUGGAGCCUGCGGCUUAAUUUGACUCAACACGGGAAAACUCACCAGGUCCGGACAUGGGAAAGGAUUGACAGAUUGAGAGCUCU
rnacentral:rRNA from 1 species